rnacentral:rRNA from 1 species
GACGAACGCUGGCGGCGUGCCUAAUACAUGCAAGUCGAGCGGACUGAUGGGAGCUUGCUCCCUGAUGUUAGCGGCGGACGGGUGAGUAACACGUGGGCAACCUGCCCUUUAGCUUGGGAUAACUCCGGGAAACCGGGGCUAAUACCGAAUAAUACAAUUUAGCUCCUGCUAGAUUGUUGAAAGAUGGUUUCGGCUAUCGCUAUAGGAUGGGCCCGCGGCGCAUUAGCUAGUUGGUAGGGUAAUGGCCUACCAAGGCGACGAUGCGUAGCCGACCUGAGAGGGUGAUCGGCCACACUGGGACUGAGACACGGCCCAGACUCCUACGGGAGGCUG